GUUGUUGAAGAGGAUAAUGGUCCACCGAAGGAGUUGUCCAACAAAGGUGAGUACAGGAAACAACGUGCAGAGGACAAUCGUCGCCGUAAUAGUAUACUACCAAAUCCGUAUACCUGUCUUGACUUUGGUAAAGAAUGGAGUGAUGAAGAUGCGGUCGAAUACGGUAACUGGCUGAGGUUUGAGAGAGCUUACCGCCGUCACUUGACACAUGCUGAAAUGGAUUACUUAGCUGCUAAUCCUCGUGUUACACACUGAAGCAAUGCCAUUGUUUGCAAACGUUUGGAGUUGAUGAAGAAAACAAAGCUUUAGGCACUGAUUCAAAUGUGUUCCCACGGAAAACACUCUUCUCUUUUCAUCUGUGUUUCCACUGAAAACACUCUUCUCUUUUCAAUUGUGUUUUCACUCUGAAAACACUUCUCUUAUCAGUUGUGUUCCUACACAAAAACCACCUUUAUCAAUUG